rnacentral:siRNA from 1 species
GAUGGUGACAUGUUGUUGCAGUUG